CCCCUAGUAACUGCGAGUGAAGCGGGAAAAGCUCAAAUUUAAAAUCUGGCGGCUUUGGUCGUCCGAGUUGUAUUCUAGAGAAGUGUUUUCCGCGUUGGACCGUGUAUAAGUCUCUUGGAACAGAGCGUCAUAGAGGGUGAGAAUCCCGUCUUUGACACGGACUACCAAUGCUUUGUGAUACACUCUCAAAGAGUCGAGUUGUUUGGGAAUGCAGCUCAAAAUGGGUGGUAAAUUCCAUCUAAAGCUAAAUAUUGGCGAGAGACCGAUAGCGAACAAGUACCGUGAGGGAAAGAUGAAAAGCACUUUGGAAAGAGAGUUAAACAGUACGUGAAAUUGCUGAAAGGGAAACGCUUGAAGUCAGUCGCGUUAUCUAGAACUCAACCAGGCUUGCUUGGCGUAUUUUCUAGUUAACGGGCCAGCAUCAGUUUUGACUGCAGGAAAAAGGCCAGGGAAAUGUGGCACCUUCGGGUGUGUUAUAGUCUCUGGUCAUAUACUGUGAUUGGGACUGAGGACCGCAGCACGCGCAAGUUGUGCUUAGGAUGCUGGCGUAAUGGCUUUAAACGACCCGUCUUGAAACACGGACCAAGGAGUCUAACAAACCUGCGAGUAUUUGGGUGGUAAACCCGAGUGCGUAAUGAAAGUGAAAGUUGGGAUCCCUGUCGUGGGGAGCACUGACGCCCGGACCAGACCUUCUGUGACGGAUCUGCGGUAGAGCAUGUUUGUUGGGACCCGAAAGAUGGUGAACUAUGCCUGAAUAGGGUGAAGCCAGAGGAAACUCUGGUGGAGGCUCGUAGCGAUUCUGACGUGCAAAUCGAUCGUCAAAUUUGGGUAUAGGGGCGAAAGACUAAUCGAACCAUCUAGUAGCUGGUUCCUGCCGAU
rnacentral:rRNA from 1 species